rnacentral:miRNA from 1 species
CUAACUGUGGGAAGGAGCUACCCACUGCAGGUCUCCUCUCCACUGAGAGCUGGACACGUGUUGGGAUGACCUGCCUGGAGAAAGG